GUUGUGACAUCAACAAAGUGGCAUCUCCCCACGUCUCCAGGGCUCUGUCUUCACCCUCAGCACAGUCUGAGAUGGUACAGAAUUGAUAUCCCAAAGCUCACCUUUACGAUAGGCCCUGGUGAGCAAAGAGCUGCCCCCCACAGGCCAGCCCGGCUCUACGUGAGUCUGACAGGAGGUGGAGACCCAAGCCGGAAAUGCUCCUGGAUUCCCCCAUCAUUGCCUACAGCUGCCGGAAAUACUCGUCCUAGAUGUCCCUUUCUUAUGUACAGUACAGACUCCACCUUGCUGUCCCCCUGAACUUUCAAAUUCCCCAAGGAUGGGCCAGCCAUUAAGAAGUGGAUACUUUCCUCUGAUGGCCAGAGAAGCCCUGGUUCCAGCCCAGGGGGGCCCUGAGAACCUGGGAAAGGAGAAGGACAUCAUAAUCCACUUGAACAAGUCCCCUGGGCUCUCCAGUCUCUUCCUCACCGCCCCUCCCGGUGGCUUCACCAUUACUCUCCUGGAUGCCCAAUUGUAUCACCUGCCAUGUAGCUCCAGCCACACGGGCCUCUGCGUGGAAGUGACCGGGCUCCUUUCUAGAUGAGACCUUUGCCCAGCAGUCCCUCUGUCCAGGUAUCUCCUGCUCCAGAUUUCCUCCCUCCAGGCAGGCUGGUGUCAAGUCAGAGGCCAUAUCCUCAGAGUCCUAUUGGAAAGUGAGCUUUAUGGAAUCUUAUCUCGCUCACUGAAUUGCUGGUGUCUAGAACGCUGCCGGUCACAGAGUGGACACGUGGAGGGUACCUGUAGGUCGAAGAGCAGAGGAGGCUGGAGGGCCCUUAUGUUCCUCUGCUGCUGGAGACACCUCCGUCCCACAGAGCAACCUGGCGUGGUCGAAACAACAGGUAAAGAGAGAGGCAACGAGAAAUGAAGGUGCAGAGCUCCAGGCAGGGAGGGUAGGACUGGGUGCAGGAUCGCUGUGCACCUGGGAGGGCCGAGGGGUCUGGUGCUUCUCUAUUGGGAAGGCAGAGUCCAUCCAUCCGGACCCCUGUUACUUCUCCUGAAGACCACGCUGCCCACCUCGCUUUAAGGGUCAGCACUCUGUCCCAACCCCCAGGCCUGCUUUUCCUUGUCAGACUCACUGAUGUCCCUCAUUCAGCACUAGGUCCCCUCACCCUGGGGGUCCCCUCACCCUGGGCCCACCUCCUCCACCAUCAGCUCAUUUGUUUGAGAAUAAGACCCGGUCAUCAGCUCUAUUGUCGCCGAGGUGUUCAGCACGACAGAGGCAAAGACAGCGCCCUAGGGCAGCAGGUAAAAUCAAAACGACGUCCGCACACGGUGGGAAUUCGCAGAGUUCAACCGAAAAGCGCCAGGCCAUCUUCUUUCCCGGAGUCGAGGAUCAGAAGUUCCCAGUGCAGAGCAGCAUCUUGUGUUAACGUGGUGACUUGUACCUAAGCAACACUUAGCUGAUUCUGCAAGGUGGUCGUUUGGAAUAAGCUUCAACAGGAGUGGUAGCAAGAAAAAAUUUAUUCCACAAAUAUUUAUUAAAUCAUUGAUAUUUCAUACUAGAUUGACAAGAAUAAGAGAAAAUACAUCUUAUAGGAAAACAAUAGGAAAACUCAAACAACCAGAUGAUAUUUUUCCUGUAAUGUUUUUGUCAAGAAACAAAAAGUAACCUAUGAAAGAUUUUCGCAUGCUGCAUAGAAGUGAUGAGAAGGAACUGUCUGAGGUCCCUGCAGAAUCGGCCCAGAAACCUGGGCCUGUGGUAUCCACCUGGUCUUCACGAGCUUUCAGGUCAGGUCCCAGUUACAACCUAGGAGGCCAAGGCCCCGGGGGCCCAGGUCCAUUGCCUGUGGUCUCCAAGCGGGUGGGUGGCAGGUUGGGUGGACAUGCAGCCUACUUCUCCAGAAGCUCACCUGAGAAUACCGGCCUGAACAGUCCAACUCACUCCCACGAUGAUGACUUCGAGGCCUGGCAAAGCCAGUUCAUUAAGGAUGUUUUAAUGCUGUGUUUGGACAGAGUAGCGCCAAGUGCAUGUGGCAAUAACCUGCAUCUGUUGAAGGAACCGGCCUCUGCCUGUCUGUUUACCGCGUGUCGGUGAACAUUGGACAUCGCUCAGCCCUGCCGCCCCACCGUCACUUGACAGCCCUGGAGGGACCCUGCUCUGAUCUUGCAGGUCUGCAGGGGACUGAGUUUCCUGCAAACUCCCCAGGCUUCCAGGUGUACCGGAAGCUAGACCCCUCCCCACUCUACAGCCCAGAACCCAGGCUCACCGUGGAGGGACUCAGGGUGAAGGGCUCUGCAGUCCCCUGGCUCUUGGCCUCGCACUCCCUCUGUGCCACCCCAGUGCUAGUCCCCACAGCCAUCACGCCCCACAUGCCGUGAAUUGAUUACAGAGGAUGGUGAAUGGCAAAUCCUUAGCCUCGUACAAAGAAGAAUCAGGCUCAUUUAUUUAUAAGCUGCAAAUUGGCGGAAAGCCGUGCCGCAUGCACAGAUCCAACCUACAUCUGCACAUCAGCAAAACAGCCCACCCGCCGCCCCAGGGAGCUCUGCUGUGGAAGCAGGGGUCUCAAGGAACGCGACGGAAAAAUGACCUUAUUGUUCAAUAAUGACGUCAAAAUUUACAGUUAAUUGAACAAAAAAUAUCCUCAGGUUAAAAAAAUGAGACAAAUUUAUCACCUUA